rnacentral:rRNA from 1 species
CCAGGUUGAUUCUGCCUGACGUAGACGCUAUUCCCUAAGAUUAACCCAUGCAUGUUUUUGACAUUUGAAAAAUGGACUGCUCAGUAAUACUCACUUUAUUUUAUGUAAAUUUUUAAUUAACUACGUUAAAGUGUAGAUAAGAUGUUUACAGUAAGAGUGAGACCUAUCAGCUAGUUGUUAAGGUAAUGGCUUAACAAGGCUGUGACGGGUAACGGUAUUACUUUGUAAUAUUCCGGAGAAGGAGCCUGAGAGACGGCUACUAAGUCUAAGGAUUGCAGCAGGGGCGAAACUUGACCUAUGGAUUUUAUCCGAGGCAGUUAUGGGAAGUAAUAUUAUAUUGUUUCAUAUUUUAAAAGUAUAUGAGGUGAUUAAUUGGAGGGCAAAUCAAGUGCCAGCAGCCGCGGUAAUACUUGUUCCAAGAGUGUGUAUGAUGAUUGAUGCAGUUAAAAAGUCCGUAGUUUAUUUUUUUAAGAAGCAAUAUGAGGUGUACUGUAUAGUUGGGAGAAAGAUGAAAUGUGACGACCCUGACUGGACGAACA